rnacentral:lncRNA from 1 species
GUACAGUGGAAUGAUCACAGCUUACUGCAGCCUCGACUUCCUGGGCUCAAGCGAUCCUCCCACCUUGGGCUCUGGAGUAGCUGGGACCACAGAGAACUGUUGUGAAGAUUAAAGCAGAUCACAGAGACUUAAAGCUCUUGAGGAAAGGCUGACGACAUGUUGAUCUUUUUCAUUGGUUACGAUCUCGGCGAUACUGAACAUGUGUCCUACAAGUUUCCCUACUGGCUUGGUGCUGAUAUUGGGGUGCCACAACCGGAUGACCUUAUCAUCUCCUGAAAAGGAGGACAGGGAAAGAUUGUUGGUUUUCUGAGGUGGUCAGAGUUUCAAAUGUAUCUCUCACUGUAUCAUACCCGUAUCUUUCUUCGAACAGCAAAUCACAGUCCGUUUCUGGCAGGAUGCAUUAUUCUGUGAUUGAUGUGCUAAGGGGCUGGCCUUGGUUUGGAUCUGCUGCUUCUUGUGAAGGC